GGGGUCGUAGCUCAGUUUGGUUAGAGCGUCUGCCUGUCACGCAGGAAGUCCUCCCGACUAAUCGGGAAGUCUCG
rnacentral:tRNA from 1 species